rnacentral:rRNA from 1 species
AACGAACGCUGGCGGCAGGCUUAACACAUGCAAGUCGAACGCGUGCAGCAAUGCACGAGUGGCGCACGGGUGAGUAACGCGUGGAUAUCUGCCUUUUGGUUCGGAAUAACCCCGGGAAACUGGGGCUAAUACCGGAUGGUUCCUACGGGAUAAAGAUUUAUCGCCAAAAGAUGAGUCCGCGUCCGAUUAGCUAGUUGGUGAGGUAAUGGCUCACCAAGGCGACGAUCGGUAGCUGGUCUGAGAGGACGAUCAGCCACACUGGGACUGAGACACGGCCCAGACUCCUACGGGAGGCAGCAGUGGGGAAUAUUGGACAAUGGGGGCAACCCUGAUCCAGCCAUGCCGCGUGAGUGAUGAAGGCCUUCAGGUUGUAAAGCUCUUUUGGCGGGGACGAUGAUGACGGUACCCGCAGAAUAAGCCCCGGCUAACUUCGU